GAGUUAUGCAAAGCUUGGCGGAGUCAUAUGGGAUAAACAUCUUGACAUCCACAGGACUCUCAUCUACUGGAUGUUUUUUGCUUGCACUUAUUGAAGAUACCUUGGGUACUGUGAUGUGGCUUAAACAUCACGCUGAAUCGUUUGUUCCAGUUGUGCUUGCUUAAAAGAUACAGAAAAAGAAAAAGAAAACUAUGAGUGUGUUAUGAAUGUUGCAUGGUCUGCGCAGCUGAAUCUCUUCUCUCAGGUCAGGAACACUGCCUGGCAGCUCCUCUGAUGACACAUUGGGAUGAGAAAGUACCACACGGGUGGAAACAGCUGGAUCAUCCUGAUAUUGAGAAAGUCUCUAUUUCAGAUGUUGCCGCAG
ensembl:processed_transcript